AUUGAAACGAUGAUGGGGACUAGUAAAUUGAAAAGGUCUUACCAAGAGAGGAAACCAUUUGCUGAAAGGUUUCUUAAGACGGUCAGUUGAACCUGCCUCGGAGUUCUGUAUCGGAUUUCUUGAAGAUACAUGCGGAUCAAAUCCGUUAUCAUGUAAAGUGUUUAAAGCAUGUUGCUUUAUAAAUUUAGGGUGGUACCGCCAGGCCUUGGUCCCUUGU
rnacentral:ncRNA from 2 species